UUAAUGUCCAGCGUACGAGGAGUGACAAGAGUGCUAUAUGAGUAGAGUUGUUUUUUUUUUUUUUUUCCUAAAAAGACAACAUUUUUCUUUUAAAUCCGUCCAAAUCACUACAGCAAAAUUAGAUUAUUUGGACAUAUUUUUUGAAUACUUUUGUGUAAGUGUUCUAUUUAUGCCAAAAUUUUUUUAAAAAAUCUACUAAGACUUAAAUACAAAGUCCAAUUCAAUCAAAAACAAAAAAGUUCCGGUGGCUAGAGUUCGACCACGAGGAUCUUGUAGGGACCGUAGAGAAUUACGAUCGCCACGUGUCCCUCUGCCACAGGUCACUAAAGGAGUAAGUGUCAAACAUCAAGAUAAUCCUACAUAUAGCGACUCCACAUAUAGCAAUACUUUUAAAAAGUAUCGGUAAUUUAGCCAGCAACACUUUUUUUUUGAUCUGUACCCAUAUUUAAAAGUAUCACUAUAUACCGUUUUUUUUUAUAAUGAAUCUCUUUCACUUUGCAAAUGCACGCAGAGAGUUAUCAAGAUGAACAAAAUGCUAUCAAUUAAACUCCAAUUUAAUUCAUCGUAUAUACAAAAUUUUUUAUUUUUUUGAUAUUUUAUUACUGCUUAUCGAAGUAGAGAAGUUAUUAUUCUAU
rnacentral:lncRNA from 1 species